GAUGAACGCUGGCGGCGUGCCUAAUACAUGCAAGUCGAGCGAACAGAUGAGGAGCUUGCUCCUCUGACGUUAGCGGCGGACGGGUGAGUAACACGUGGAUAACCUACCUAAAGACUGGGAUAACUUCGGGAAACCGGAGCUAAUACCGGAUAAUAUAUUGAACCGCAUGGUUCAAUAGUGAAAGACGGUUUUGCUGUCACUUAUAGAUGGAUCCGCGCCGCAUUAGCUAGUUGGUAAGGUAACGGCUUACCAAGGCAACGAUGCGUAGCCGACCUGAGAGGGUGAUCGGCCACACUGGAACUGAGACACGGUCCAGACUCCUACGGGAGGCAGCAGUAGGGAAUCUUCCGCAAUGGGCGAAAGCCUGACGGAGCAACGCCGCGUGAGUGAUGAAGGUCUUCGGAUCGUAAAACUCUGUUAUUAGGGAAGAACAAAUGUGUAAGUAACUAUGCACGUCUUGACGGUACCUAAUCAGAAAGCCACGGCUAACUACGUG
rnacentral:rRNA from 1 species